rnacentral:rRNA from 1 species
UACGUAGGGUGCGAGCGUUUGUCCGGAAUUAUUGGGCGUAAAGAGCUUGUAGGCGGUCUGUCGCGUCUGCUGUGAAAAUCCGGGGCUCAACCCCGGACUUGCAGUGGGUACGGGCAGACUAGAGUGUGGUAGGGGAGACUGGAAUUCCUGGUGUAGCGGUGAAAUGCGCAGAUAUCAGGAGGAACACCGAUGGCGAAGGCAGGUCUCUGGGCCGAUACUGACGCUGAGGAGCGAAAGCGUGGGGAGCAAACAGG